CAGCCGCGGUAAUUCCAGCUCCAAUAGCGUAUAUUAAAGUUGUUGCAGUUAGAACGCUCGUAGUCGGAUUUCGGGGCGGGCCUGCCGGUCUGCCGUUGGGUAUGCACUGGUGGGCGCGUCCUUCCUUCCGGAGACCGUGGCUACUCUUAACUGAGCGGUUGCGGGAGACGGAUCGUUUACUUUGAAAAAAUCAGAGUGUUUCAAGCAGACUCGCGUCUUUGCAUGGAUUAGCAUGGGAUAAUGAAAUAGGACUUUGGUGCUAUUUUGUUGGUUUCGAACACCGAAGUAAUGAUUAAAAGGGACAGUCAGGGGCACUCGUAUUCCGUCGAGAGAGGUGAAAUUCUCAGACCAACGGAAGACGAACUACUGCGAAAGCAUUUGCCAGGGAUGUUUUCACUGAUCAAGAACGAAAGUUAGGGGAUCGAAGACGAUCAGAUACCGUCGUAGUCUUAACCAUAAACAAUGCCGACUAGGGAUUGGAGGAUGUUCAUUAUUGACUCCUUCAGCACCUUACGGGAAACUAAAGUCUUUGGGUUCCGGGGGGAGUAUGGUCGCAAGGCUGAAACUUAAAGGAAUUGACGGAAGGGCACCACCAGGAGUGGAGCCUGCGGCUUAAUUUGACUCAACACGGGGAAACUUACCAGGUCCAGACAUUGUGAGGAUUGACAGAUUGAGAGCUCUUUCUUGAUUCGAUGGGUGGUGGUGCAUGGCCGUUCUUAGUUGGUGGAGUGAUUUGUCUGGUUAAUUCCGUUAACGAACGAGACCGUUGCCUAUUAAAUAGUGACGCGAACACUUCGUUCGCGGCGCACUUCUUAGAGGGACAACUUGUUUUCAACAAGUGGAAGUUAGCGGCAAUAACAGGUCUG
rnacentral:rRNA from 1 species